UUGACCUCGGAUCAGGUAGGAAUACCCGCCUGAACUUAAGCAUAUCAAUAAGCGGAGGA
rnacentral:rRNA from 1 species